rnacentral:rRNA from 1 species
UACAGAGGUCCCAAGCGUUGUUCGGAUUCACUGGGCGUAAAGGGUGCGUAGGUGGUUAGGUAAGUCCGAUGUGAAAUCUCCAGGCUCAACCUGGAAAUGGCAUUGGAUACUAUCUAGCUUGAGGAGUGGAGGGGGGACUGGAAUUCUCGGUGUAGCAGUGAAAUGCGUAGAUAUCGAGAGGAGCACCAGUGGCGAAGGCGAGUCCCUGGACACUUCCUGACACUGAGGCACGAAAGCUAGGGGAGCAAACAGG